rnacentral:rRNA from 1 species
GCAGCCGCGGUAAUACGUAGGUGGCAAGCGUUAUCCGGAUUUACUGGGUGUAAAGGGCGUGUAGGCGGGAAAGCAAGUCAGAUGUGAAAACUAUGGGCUCAACCCAUAGCCUGCAUUUGAAACUGUUUUUCUUGAGUGUUGGAGAGGCAGGCGGAAUUCCGUGUGUAGCGGUGAAAUGCGUAGAUAUACGGAGGAACACCAGUGGCGAAGGCGGCCUGCUGGACAAUAACUGACGCUGAGGCGCGAAAGCGUGGGGAGCAAACAGGAUUAGAUACCCC